CGGGGUGCACCAGGCGCGAAAACUUUACAAUGCUGGCAACAGCGAUAAGGGGACCUCGAGUGCCAGGAUACAAUCUUGGCUGUCGCGAUGCCUAAAAAGCAUUGCAUAGCAAGGGCCGGGCAAGACCGGUGCCAGCCGCCGCGGUAACACCGGCGGCUCGAGUGGUAACCGCUAUUAUUGGGUCUAAAGGGUCUGUAGCCGGCCGGAUAAGUCUUUUGGGAAAUCCAGCUGCUCAACAGUUGGGCUUUCAGAAGAUACUGUUCGGCUCGAGACCGGGAGAGGUGAGAGGUACUUCAGGGGUAGGGGUGAAAUCUUGUAAUCCUUGAAGGACCACCAGUGGCGAAGGCGUCUCACCAGAACGGAUCUGACGGCAAGGGACGAAAGCUAGGGGCACGAACCGGAUUAGAUACCCGGGUAGUCCUAGCCGUAAACGAUACUCGCUAGGUGUCAGCCACGGUGCGACCGUGGUUGGUGCCGUAGGGAAGCCGUGAAGCGAGCCACCUGGGAAGUACGGCCGCAAGGCUGAAACUUAAAGGAAUCGGCGGGGGAGCACAAGGGCGAUUCGCG
rnacentral:rRNA from 1 species